rnacentral:tRNA from 1 species
CACAAGAUGACUGAAAGUAAGUACUGGUCUCUUAAACCAUUUCAUAGUAAAUUAACGAUUACUUUUUGUG